rnacentral:rRNA from 1 species
CCCUUAGACGUUCUGGGCCGCACGCGCGCUACACUGACCAGUGCAACAAGCAUCCGUCCUUGGCCAACAGGCUCGGGCAAUCUUUGAACGCUGGUCGUGAUGGGGAUAGACUUUUGCAAUUUUUGGUCUUCAACGAGGAAUUCCUAGUAAACGCAAGUCAUCAACUUGCAUUGAUUACGUCCCUGCCCUUUGUACACACCGCCCGUCGCACCUACCGAUUGAAUGGUCCGGUGAAGCCUCCGGAUUGGCGCGCACCUCGGUGCCGCCGAGAAGUUGGCUAAACCUUACCAUUUAGAGGAAGGUGAAGUCGUAACA